CCAUCACUCCUUCCUUACCCUGAGGUACAUACCAUUACAUUACUCGCAGAAACCUUCUUUAUUUUGUAGCUGUUUCAGAAGAAAAAGGAUGAUUUUUUUUUUCUUUUCUAUCUGAUUAAAUUUUGUUGUUUUUAAACCUUUUUUUUUUGGAACCCAUUUCCCUUUUGGUCUCUCUCCCACAGUUUGUUAUACACUUAAAUCAAAAUAAAAUCUUUAAUUGAUUUUUCACUUUUUUUUUCCCGUCUGAGUUAUGGUGUUAUUGAGGUCAUUUUCAUGGCUAUUGAAGCUUUAAGUCUCUGUUGCUUUUUUUUUUAAGAGGAAAAAGAGAGGAAAAUAUGGUUUUUGUGGAAUAUGAGAGAACCCAUUUUCAUUUUACAUGUUCUUCAUUAUGGCUAUGUUUCAAUCCAUGAAGAUUUUUCACCCGGCAGUGUUCAAUAUCUGUGUUGUAUUUUAACAACAAAAAAGCUUCGACGUUAAUGCUUACUGUUAUUAAUUAAAUUUCAGCAUAAGAUGGAAAUUUUUUUGGCUUAUUUAGUCUAUACGAUGUUUGAAAAAUCCAAACAAAAAACUUUUGAAUGCAAAAGUCUCAUGGCAAGUGUUUCUUAAA
rnacentral:misc_RNA from 1 species